GCUUGGAAAACGGCAGAUGCUUAACUUAGCCAAAAUCAGGGCUUUUGCUCAGAAUGCUGAUUUAUAUGAAGAGAGACAGAGUGAUUUAAGAAAAGAAUGCUUGAAACUCUGGAAGAUUCCGGACAGAGCCCGCUCUGCCCCUAGCAAGCCAGAUCCAAAAUCUAAGUUUUUCGAAUUGAUGAAGGGUGAAAGUUCUGAUUACAUGAACUUCAAAGCAGAAGAAUUGACACAAGAGAAGUUAAAGGCUAUAACAAGUGUUUAUGAUUAUUACUGUAUUGUUUUGGGUAUGGAGACAAAUAGCCAAUCCCAUACCUGUUUCAUCUUAAGCUUGGGGAGAAACCACAUCUUCUGGAAAGAACCAACUACCCUAGGGGGUCGCUGGAUCAAACUGGAUCUGAAAAUGGAUCUUCCUGCAAAUACCCUCUUAUUUGCUGAGCUUAUUCAGGAAUUAAAUGGGGAGGGUCGAGCUCAGCGCCGAUUUAAAGCUGUACAUAUAUUGGAUGCCAUAUGCCUUGGUGGAGAUGAUGUCAGAGCCCUCUCUUUUAUGGAAAGGGUUAACUAUGUCCAGAAAUUUGUGAAGGCAGUAUCUAAACCGAGCAUACCGAACUUGACGCCGAUCAAAACAAAAGAAAUUGUUCCAUUGAAAGAAGUAGAUCAAGUGUUUGAUCAAUCCAUGGACCAUAGCGUAUAGCAAAACAAAUCAGCGAACAUAUUUUUUCAACACCAAAACUAGAACCUCAGUUUUUGAUGGACCUAGUGAAGCUGUCUCUUCAUUCAGGUCAUGUUACAUCAGUCGAAUAUUCUGGUCAUGGGAUUCUGGUGUUAAACUAGUGGAUGGUCAUACUGCUGCAUCUGGUAAGGUUCAUAGACACACAAUAACUGAUUUUGUUGACCAUGCCUUGGGACGAUGACUUU
rnacentral:misc_RNA from 1 species